UACGUAGGGGGCAAGCGUUGUCCGGAAUCAUUGGGCGUAAAGCGCGUGUAGGCGGCUCGAUCAGUCUGCUGUGAAAGUUCAGGGCUCAACCCUGAAAUGCCGGUGGAAACUGUCGAGCUAGAGUCCGGAAGAGGCGAGUGGAAUUCCUGGUGUAGCGGUGAAAUGCGCAGAUAUCAGGAGGAACACCAAUGGCGAAGGCAGCUCGCUGGGACGGUACUGACGCUGAGACGCGAAAGCGUGGGGAGCAAACAGG
rnacentral:rRNA from 1 species